rnacentral:rRNA from 1 species
AUUGAACGCUGGCGGCAGGCUUAACACAUGCAAGUCGAGCGGAGAUGAGGUGCUUGCACCUUAUCUUAGCGGCGGACGGGUGAGUAAUGCUUAGGAAUCUGCCUAUUAGUGGGGGACAACAUUCCGAAAGGAAUGCUAAUACCGCAUACGUCCUACGGGAGAAAGCAGGGGAUCUUCGGACCUUGCGCUAAUAGAUGAGCCUAAGUCGGAUUAGCAAGUUGGUGGGGUAAAGGCCUACCAAGGCGACGAUCUGUAGCGGGUCGGAGAGGAUGAUCCGCCACACUGGGACUGAGACACGGCCCAGACUCCUACGGGAGGCAGCAGUGGGGAAUAUGGGACAAUGGGGGAAACCCUGAUCCAGCCAUGCCGCGUGUGUGAAGAAGGCCUUAUGGUUGUAAAGCACUUUAAGCGAGGAGGAGGAUACUGAGACUAAUACUCUUGGAUAGUGGACGUUACUCGCAGAAUAAGCACCGGCUAACUCUGUGCCAGCAGCCGCAGUAA